UACGUAGGGGGCGAGCGUUGUCCGGAUUCAUUGGGCGUAAAGCGCUUUAAGGCGGUUCGCUAAGUCGGGUGUGAAACCUCCAGGCUCAACCUGGAGACGCCACUCGAUACUGGCGUGACUAGAGUUCGGUAGGGGACCACGGAAUUCCUGGUGUAGCGGUGAAAUGCGCAGAUAUCAGGAGGAACACCAGUGGCGAAGGCGGUGGCCUGGGCCGAUACUGACGCUGUAGAGCGAAAGCGUGGGGAGCGAACAGG
rnacentral:rRNA from 1 species